UGGUGGAGUGAUUAGUCUGGUGAAUUCCGGUAACGAACGAGACCUUAGCCUGCUAACUAGUAGGAAUCGACUCCUGUCGGUGCUGACUUCUUAGAGGGACUUUGUGUCAUAAUCACAAGGAAGUUUGAGGCAAUAACA
rnacentral:rRNA from 1 species